UAUCUAGUAAAGGACUUCACGGACCUGAGGGAAAAUACAGUAAAGAAGGACAGUAUACACGAGAUUUGAUCAAACUUGCUGAACCCCCUGCAGGUUCGGAUAUGGACGACUCCAUUUUGUGUCCAAAUAUGUGAGAACGAUGAUAAGAUGUUUAAAUAAGAAAAAUAAAUCAAUUUAUUGUUUUUUCUUUGUAUUUUUGUCAACUUAAAGAGGCGCAUAACGUUGUUUAAAGUAUCCCUUUAAUUAAAGAAGAUGAUUCUCCUAGUUUACAAAUCAUGAUUAAUUUUAAACGUAAACGUUGUAUUAAGUUCUCCAAAAAGGAGGCACGUCAGAAUAACGGUACCCCUACAAGCUUUGUUCAAUCAAAAGAUCGAAUAAAUAGGCAAUCCAUCCAUGGUUCCUUUUUUGAAAUCUAAUUAUUUUCAUUUGGUGUUCUCUACGACUGUGUCUUCAAGCGCAUUUCUGCUUACAGGGAUGGCGAUGCCUGAUUCAUAAUUCAGUGCCCUUGAAACCCUUCUAUAAUCAAUAAUGCGGAAGGUAAUGUUGUGUUUCUGGUUUAAAGUGAUCAUUUCUUUUUGUCACCGAUAGUAGAAAUGCACAAGUCACUUUUAAAGAGGAACCACAAUUCAAAUUUGCAUGGAGGGUCACUUGAAAUUAUGCUUACAGUCCCUUUAAACUAAACUGCAUGUGUUUUAUAAAGAGAAAACAUUUAAAAACAAUUCUGAGAAUGUUUUGAAUCUUAUUUUAAGAUGUAAAACAGUAAAAAUGUAUGCAUUUGAAGAAUAUUUAUGAAAUUAUAUUAGCUUUAAUAAACAAACGUUCUUUGUUCAUUGUAACAAAUUCUGUUAAUUA